UUGUUGUCCACUGAGAACCGCCACGUCUUCCCUCUGUUUCGAUUCCGUUUGGUAGUUGUUCUGGCGCUCGGUUCUGAAUGUCAAUGGUGAUUUAGUUCUAGGUCUUUUCCCCAAAUCCUAAUUCCCGUUCUCGGCUGCUAUCCUGCUAUUCCGACGAGUGUUCUGACUUCUCUGAUGAUGUGCAGAUUUUGAUUGCCUUGUGAACUUGAUUCAGAUUAUCAGAUGUUAAGUCAGUCAACCAUGUGUUUGCGUGCCAUGUAAAUUUCCAUCGCCAUGGGGUUAACCUGUUUCUACAAAUUAAAGUAACUUGAUUAAGGUGUUAAAUCUGUCAAGCGGUCAGUCACAGUACUGAGCAGUCAACCAUGUCCUGAUUUAGAGAAGUAACAUUUUUUUUGAAAUAGAAGAACAUGCAGUCCUUUUACAAAUGAAAGAGAGGCAAAGAAAGUGUUGAACAAGAACAACUAUCAGCACAACAUGUUGUGAGUUGCACAUCCUUUUUUGCAUUCAUUUUGAAAAAUGACCCCUUCUUAGUUGCUUGUCACGCUCGGCCACUGGUUGCAGGUCUAUGUUCUGGUGGAAUCGUUGAUUUCUAAGGAGGAGAGGAAGAGAAUACAGGGGACUGCGUCCUCAGAUUCUCAGGGUCCGGUCAUAGUGGCUUCAAGCUUUAUUUUUAACCUUCUUGUAGUAAUGGAUAAUUACAAGAACAUUCCUCAAUUCCUCUAUGGCUUAAGCCCAUCUCAGAUGGAAAUGUCUAAAACUGACGACAACCCUUAUAAUCGGCAGUCAAGGAAAGUUACAGAGAAAUCUUGGAUUCAUAAAUGGGAGAAGCACAUAAGGGAGAAGAAGAUGAUUGCAAGGAUGGAGAGGGAGUAAAUCAUUUGGAGGGAUAGAAUGCCACUGUUUGGUGUUUUUAUGCAUUUUUGUUUGCUUUCAACUGUGUUUGCACUAGCUGGGAAUAAGUGACUAGGCAAUAAGUGUAGAUGUAUGGAUAUGCUCUAAUGCUCCUGGUUUACUAUAAAUCUUCGAUUUGGAAUGAUGUGUAAUGGUGUGUAAUGCUGCUGGUUUUCUAACGGUUGGGCAUGAUGGAUGUUGCAGGUUCAUUGAUGACGGCCAAGGGUUCAUGCUCGGAAAGGACGACAUCUUGCUCCAUGUUGUCGGCUCAGCUAAAGUCCUUAAUCAUGAGGAGAUGGGACACGUCGAUUGUUAGAGUACACUUGACAGAGGUGAUCGACGCUGACUAGCACGGCCCGGUGGCGCUGUGCUCUUCAACCACUCGGAGACGGACUUCGCCGUGAAGCCUUGUUCCCACGUCGCACAGAUGAUCGUCCAGGUGAUUUCGACACCGGAGGUCGCUGAGGUGGAGGACCUUGACGCCACCGUCCGGGGGAGGGAGGAUUCGAGUCCACCAACGUCUGAACUCCGAGCCUAGGUAGAUACAUCUAGAGAAGUGGUCUGUUUAGGUUGGUGGUAGACCACUAGGGAAGGUACCCACCUUACGAUGAUGGUUGUGUGUGUCUGAUGUUAAAUGGAAUCUUGAGAUGGUUUUGUGACAUGUUAAAUGGAAUAUUGAGAUGGUUCAGUGACAUUCGUUUGUUUUGCA